CUGGAGCUCGGUUCUCAGUGGACGGCUGGGUAGACACAUUACUGAAGCCGCGCAGAGUAACAACAGCUUGACAAGAAGGUGACAAGAUCAGUUCCUAGGCCACAUGUGCACCGGGGACAAGGAUCUGGCAGGAGUGUUCGUGUAAUGGGAACCAAGAGAAUGUUCAACCCCACCACAUUUGGCUCUGCUGGGAGUAGUUUUAGCGGGUUUGGCCUGUCCACCACUACUCCUGCCACGGCCAACCCUAUGAAGGAUUUUGAAGUUGUGAAUCCUCCUGAUGACUCUGUUCAGUGCAUGGCGUUCUCUCCUCCUUCCAUUCCACAAGAUUUUUUGGUCGCUGGAAGUUGGGACAAUAAUGUGCGAUGUUGGGAGGUGCAGAGAGAUGGGAAGACAAUAGGAAAGGCCCAGCAGACCAUGGGAGGACCAAUCAUGGAUGUGGCGUGGCAUGAUGACGGCAGCAAGGUGUUUAUGGCAAGCGCAGACAAAACCGUUCACUGCUGGGACUUGGGGAGCAACCAGAAGAUGCAGGUGGCUCAGCACGACGCCCCAGUGAAGACAGUGCACUGGAUCAAGGCACCAACGUACUCCUGCAUCAUGACGGGCUCGUGGGAUAAGACUUUAAAGUUUUGGGACACACGGAGCGCCCAGCCCAUCAUGACCAUCAACCUCCCGGAGCGAUGUUACUGUGCUGACGUGGAGUAUCCCAUGGCCGUGGUGGGCACUGCUAACCGCCACCUCAUUGUGUACCAGCUUGAAGGCCAACCACAGGAAUUCAAACAGAUAGAAUCACCAUUAAAAUAUCAGCACAGAUGCGUCGCGAUCUUCAAGGACAAGAAGGGUGCCGGUGCUCCUGCUGGGUUUGCUCUGGGCAGCGUGGAGGGCCGGGUAGCCAUCCAGUACAUCGUGGCAGCAUCACCAAGAGACAACUUUACGUUUAAGUGCCACCGCUCAAACGGCACCUCCAACGGCUUCCAGGACAUAUACGCGGUGAACGACAUAAAGUUCCACCCAGUCCAUGGAACACUGUCGACAGUUGGUUCUGAUGGCAGGUUCAGUUUCUGGGAUAAGGAUGCUCGUACAAAGCUUAAGAAUUCAGAAGCAAUGGAGCAGCCCAUCUCAUGCUGUGCUUUCAACCAUAACGGCCAGAUAUUUGCUUACGCUGUAUCCUAUGACUGGUCUAAGGGUCAUGAAUACUUUAAUCCACAAAAGAAAAACUACAUAUUCCUGAGAUCUUGCUACGAUGAACUGAAGCCUCGGAGCCGCUAACCUACACUGGGGAAGGUCACCAGUGCUGUCUUUCUGAGUCAUGCCACACUGCACUGAGUCCAUCAGAGGGCUGGUAUUCAUCUCCAAGAGAAGCCACCUAGAAAUAAAGGACACAUUAAAUAAGUCAGUGUUAGUAAUUAAUAUUGAAUGGUUACCUGCCUUACCAUCCCUAGGGUUCACAAGUAUUCUUGUAGGACCUUUUCCUAUCCUUUGUACGAGACAGGAUCCAUUAACAUGCUCAAGCCGGGCUUUGAGGGCAUCCCUUUUGCCUCCCUUAAGGUGCUACCACACAGACAUUUUCUGGUGUCUUGUUGGCAUCUAGCCACCGGUGGCAAGGAGUGCUCUUCCUAUCACACGCGCAAGAGAUGUUUUCGGCCUCAGCACAGAGCAAAACAAGCUGGAUGCUAAACAUAUGUCGAGUAUGUAUAUCUAUAUCUAUAUCGAGAGAGAGAGAGAAUGCUAAUUUCUUCAAAACUUCUCUAUGUAUUUCUCUCCAAAUAGUUUUCAUCCCUGGUGUCCCACAGACACUUGUUUUCCCGAUAGAGCUCACACAGGGUGUUAAGAGCAUCCUUGGAAAACUAGAUAAACAAAAAGUAAUUACAGUAAAUAGAGGCCUGAGAAGAAGAUAUGUUCUAAGUAAAAACUUAUGAAUACAAAGGUGCGUUCAGAUUUUAGUGAUAUAAGAGGAGACGAGGAAGGAUUUGUAAAUAGUAGUAUAAAUAGUAAAUGUUAUUUUCUGAAUUUUGCUCACUAUAUUUACUUCGGAUAAGCUAAAAAUUGUUGCUCAAUCCAAUAAUGUCAACAGAUUUUGCCCUUCUUGUGUUACAAAUGAACUAAGUAAAGAAAUUGAAUAUUUUAGGAACCUAAGCGAAUGUGUUGAGCAAUAGAGACGUCAGACACACACACACCCGCCCGCCAACAUCCAAUUAGCAGCAUACUCAGCUGUGGAACCAGCUUCCGUUAGGAGGGAUUCAAUGGAAGUAAAGGGACAAUAUCUGUGAACAAGGACACAGAACCUGAGGGGAUUGAGUUCCCCGGGCACUCGCUUCAAUGAAGGAUAAGCAUAUGAGCCACCAGGGGUAACAAAGCUUGUGAAGAAGGUAAAAUACUAGUGGCCUUAUUUGGUUUUGCUAUCAUGAAUUGUUCCUUGCAGUGCACUCACAAAAUACUGAUCAUCAGCAAGUAUACUCUGUAAUGGAGUGGCAACACUAAAUGUAAUACACAACAUGAAAACAGAAAU